rnacentral:rRNA from 1 species
GACGAACGCUGGCGGCGUGCUUAACACAUGCAAGUCGAACGGUAAGGCCCUUCGGGGUACACGAGUGGCGAACGGGUGAGUAACACGUGGGUGAUCUGCCCUGCACUUCGGGAUAAGCCUGGGAAACUGGGUCUAAUACCGGAUAGGACCAUUGCCUGCAUGGGUGGUGGUGGAAAGCUUCUGCGGUGUGGGAUGGGCCCGCGGCCUAUCAGCUUGUUGGUGGGGUGAUGGCCUACCAAGGCGACGACGGGUAGCCGGCGUGAGAGGGUGACCGGCCACGCUGGGACUGAGAUACGGCCCAGACUCCUACGGGAGGCAGCAGUGGGGAAUAUUGCACAAUGGGCGCAAGCCUGAUGCAGCGACGCCGCGUGAGGGAUGACGGCCUUCGGGUUGUAAACCUCUUUCAGCAUCGACGAAGCGCAAGUGACGGUAGGUGCAGAAGAAGGACCGGCCAACUACGUGCCAGCCGCCGCAGUAA